AAAUUUCAGUUUUUUGCCAUUUUUACACUUUGGUAAUUUUUCAAAAAAUGUUAUAACUUUUUUGCUAUUAAAGAUAGAAACUUGAAACAAAGGGUGGUAUAUACGCCCAAAGACUAAGGUUCUUUUAUAUAAGAACGAAAUUUUUUGAGAAACCAACAGUUUUUGGGGAAAUUGGAAAUUUCAGUUUUUUACCAUUUUUAUCCCUCGGAAACUUUUCAAAAUAUGUUAUAACUUUUUUACUAUUGAAGAUAGAAACUUGAGUUAAAAAGUGGUGUAUAAGCCCAAAGACUGAGGUUCUUUUAUAUAA